AUUGAACGCUGGCGGCAUGCCUUACACAUGCAAGUCGAACGGUAACAGGUUAAGCUGACGAGUGGCGAACGGGUGAGUAAUAUAUCGGAACGUGCCCAGUCGUGGGGGAUAACUGCUCGAAAGAGCAGCUAAUACCGCAUACGACCUAAGGGUGAAAGCGGGGGAUCGCAAGACCUCGCGCGAUUGGAGCGGCCGAUAUC
rnacentral:rRNA from 1 species